UCGAAGGUGGCGGAAUUGGUAGACGCGCUAGCUUCAGGUGUUAGUGUCCUUACGGACGUGGGGGUUCAAGUCCCCCCCCUCGCACCA
rnacentral:tRNA from 1 species